rnacentral:rRNA from 1 species
UGCCGCGUGUGGGAAGAAGGCCUUCGGGUUGUAAACCACUUUUGUCAGGGAAGAAACGGUCUAGGUUAAUACCUUGGGCUAAUGACGGUACCUGAAGAAUAAGCACCGGCUAACUACGUGCCAGCAGCCGCGGUAAUACGUAGGGUGCAAGCGUUAAUCGGAAUUACUGGGCGUAAAGCGUGCGCAGGCGGUUAUGCAAGACAGAUGUGAAAUCCCCGGGCUCAACCUGGGAACUGCAUUUGUGACUGCAUGGCUAGAGUACGGUAGAGGGGGAUGGAAUUCCGCGUGUAGCAGUGAAAUGCGUAGAUAUGCGGAGGAACACCGAUGGCGAAGGCAAUCCCCUGGACCUGUACUGACGCUCAUGCACGAAAGCGUGGGGAGCAAACAGGAUUAGAUACCCUGGUAGUCCACGCCCUAAACGAUGUCAACUGGUUGUUGGGAGGGUUUCUUCUCAGUAACGUAGCUAACGC